rnacentral:rRNA from 1 species
GACAGAGGGGGCAAGCGCUGCUCGGAAUUACUGGGCGUAAAGCGCGUGUAGGCGGCGUAGCAAGUCGGGCGUGAAAGCCCACGGCUCAACCCGUGGAAGAGCACUCGAAACUGCUGCGCUAGAGUUCUGGAGAGGAAGGCGGAAUGCUUGGUGUAGAGGUGAAAUUCGUAGAUAUCAAGCGGAACACCGGUGGCGAAGGGCGGCCU